rnacentral:lncRNA from 10 species
AAAAAAAAAAAAAAAAAGAAAGCCUAAAUUUUGAAUGAAGAGCCUAAUUUUUGAGCCAGAAAAAGUUUUUAUAAAUCUCCCCAAAGCAAGAUUUUUAGCAUCAGUUUUCAAAGCUUGCAGAAAGAAUACAUCAAAUUUAUCCAUAAACAACACAGCAGGGUGAGAAUAGAUUCAAAGCCAGUUUUUCUGACACACGGAGAUUUUUUUUGUCUUUUUAAUUUUUAAAAUAUUCUUGGCAUGUGAGUGGAGCUUCAGAAUUAGGAAAAGGAAGCGAGAUAGUUAGCAGCUGGUGUGAGUUUCUAAAGCUGGUAGGGCACCAUUUUGUCUCUUAAGAUUUAGGUCUCGGUAGGGUUGGGGUUGGAGGAAUUAUAGGAAUGUCUGACCCACUGGGUGAAUCUGAGAGCAGAGUGGCCUAUAUCUUGCUCUGUUGGGAGUAGCCUGGGGAGACUACAAUUAUUGUAGAGAAGUCUUAUGCCCGCUGUGGUCCUGGAGUGACAGAAGAGCAGUGGUUCAGUGAGAUGUUGGGCUGACCGGGUUUAUGGGCAGACUGACAGUUCAGCACACACAUGCAGUGUGGUGUGGAAAAAACAACAACAUGGAAUACAAAAAUUAGCCGGGCGUGGUGGCCUGCACUUGUAGUCCCAGCUACUCAGGAGGCUGAGGUGGUAGGGUUGCUUGAGGCUGGGAGGUUGAGGUUGCAGUGGGCUAUGGUCAUGCCACUGCAGUCCAUUCUGGAUGAAACUGUGUCUCAAAAAACAAAAAAAAAAAAAAAGGGAAAAGCAACAUGGGCUCUGAACUCUGAAUGUCCUAAGAGGGGGAAGAAAGGUGCGUGCAACUGCUAGGAGAUGCCAGUCACAUCCAAAGGGCUAUGGAGGAAACGAACUGAUACAUGUAAAGGCCUUAGAAUAAAAGCCAGUUGUUGUUGAUGUAGUUUUUCACUUCUGAGUGCAUAUGGGGCUUUAGAACUAAGUUGUUAAUAAUAAAGAGCUGAAAACAAGUGCACUCAUUAAGAAUAUGAUGCCACUCACAGCUGCAUACUUCACCCUCUCUCUGCCUCAGCAGGGCAAGGAUUUUGAGAGACUAAAGGUCCAUUUACAAAAAUAAGACCAGAACUUUGGGACCCUUAACCUUUGUAAGGCAAGGACUGUGCUUUAUUUGGUUUUGUACACCCUCUGCCCCAGUGACUGGGCAUGGAAAGCUAUUUGUGUUUGUUGAGAUGAAUAAAUAGAUGCAGUUUCCAUUGGGAAAAUUACACAAGCAAUAAUGUUACCCCUCCAACAAUUUCUGCAAAAUAGUUACACUACAAGGUAUCACAUGCAAGGGGCCCUUCAGAUCAGCAGAUAAUUGUGCCUUUGGAAAAUGAAAAUCAAAAUCAACACUCCUGGUAUAGCUUCCCCAUCUCUAUAGAUUCUAGUACUUACUCUCUGCCUGCUGGUUUCUCAGGCAUGAGAAAAGGCUUUUUGACUCCAAGUCAUAACACUAAAAUACUCAUAGUUCUGGCUACUAUUGGAUAAUAAAGUUGGCAGUGCUAUUCAGGAAUCAUAUCUGAGUGUGGUUUCUAUGAUGGGACCAAUCAACUGUAUAUUUACUACACGUUUUGGAGCCCUCUGUAAAACAAAUGCUUGUCCUGCAAUUUCUCCUUAUUACAGAAUGUAUUCUGAAUAGGUAAUUUGGGGUUUCCCCUUCAAAUUCACUCCUCCUUACCCAAACACAUUCGCUGAGUAUGUG